UACGACUACAUAUCAGGCAUAUCAAUAAGCGGAGGAAAAGAAACUAACAAGGAUUCCCCUAGUAACGGCGAGUGAAGCGGGAAGAGCUCAAAUUUGAAAUCUUCAAGGUUUUACCUUGACGAAUUGUAGUUUAAAGAAGUGUUUUCUGUUGGUGUUUUGGUAAAAGUUCUUUGGAAUAGGACAUCAUAGAGGGUGAGAAUCCCGUAUUUGACCAUUACUUCCAGCGUUGUGAUACACUUUCAAAGAGUCGGAUUGUUUGGGAAUGCAGUCCAAAAUGGGUGGUAAAUUUCAUCUAAAGCUAAAUAUUGGCGAGAGACCGAUAGCGAACAAGUACCGUGAGGGAAAGAUGAAAAGAACUUUGAAAAGAGAGUUAAACAGUACGUGAAAUUGUCAAAAGGGAAGCGUUUGACACCAGUGUUGUUUUCUCGAAAAUCAAUUAAAAAUGAAUUGGAUUUUGUGUUGUAUUGACCUUAUAAGCUUUCUGCACUUUUUUCAUGUUUAUUUUUAAUGCACUUUUCGUUUAACAAGUCAACAUCAAUUUCUUUUGUUGUAAAAAGGGUCAUUGGAAGGUGGCUUUCACUUUCGGUAGAAAGUGUUUAUAGCCUUUGACUCCUGCAAUCGGAGAGACUGAGGUCUGCAGCGUAGAUCCUUCGGGAUUAGAUUCAGUUAGAUGCUAAGUUAUAGCUUUUUCAUAGACAACUUGUUGACUAUGAUUUAAUCAUGUAGCUUACUCGCUUAUGGUAUUUUACCUACGCUUAGGAUGUUGACGCGCGUGUGUGCGUG
rnacentral:rRNA from 1 species